GUCCUGUAUUAUUAUGUUGUCAUUUUAAUGUUAUAUUUAACAAUGCCAUGAAAGUGCGAGGUUUGGCAUGCCACAAAACCAGGUUCAACCCACCAUUUUUUUCUUUAAAAAUGUCCUAUACCAAGUCAGGAAAAUGGCCAUUGUUAUAUCAUAGUUCGUUUCUGUGUGUGUAACAUUUUUACGUUGUGUUUCCGUUGUGUCGUUUGUUUUCUC
rnacentral:lncRNA from 1 species